GACGAACGCUGGCGGCGUGCUUAACACAUGCAAGUCGAACGGUAAGGCCCCAGCUUGCUGGGGUACACGAGUGGCGAACGGGUGAGUAACACGUGGGUGACCUGCCCCGCACUUCGGGAUAAGCCUGGGAAACUGGGUCUAAUACCGGAUAGGACCGCACCGUGAGGGUGUGGUGGAAAGUUUUUCGGUGUGGGAUGGGCCCGCGGCCUAUCAGCUUGUUGGUGGGGUAAUGGCCUACCAAGGCGGCGACGGGUAGCCGGCCUGAGAGGGUGGACGGCCACAUUGGGACUGAGACACGGCCCAGACUCCUACGGGAGGCAGCAGUGGGGAAUAUUGCACAAUGGGCGGAAGCCUGAUGCAGCGACGCCGCGUGGGGGAUGACGGCCUUCGGGUUGUAAACUCCUUUCACCAUCGACGAAGGUUUCCUGACGGUAGAUGGAGAAGAAGCACCGGCUAACUACGUG
rnacentral:rRNA from 1 species